rnacentral:rRNA from 1 species
CUGCAGCCCGAGUGGUGAUCGAUUUUAUUGAGCCUAAAGCGUCCGUAGCCGGACUAGUAAACCCUUGGGUAAAUUGGGCAGCUUAACUGUCCAAAUUCCGAGGGGACUACUAGUCUUGGGACCGGGAGAGGUCAGAGGUACUCAAGGGGUAGGGGCUAAAUCCUGUAAUCCUUUGGGGACCACCAGUGGCGAAGGCGUCUGACUAGAACGGAUCCGACGGUAAGGGACGAAACCCUGGGGCGCGAACCGGAUUAGAUACCCGAGUAGUCC